rnacentral:lncRNA from 1 species
AACGACCAUGCCAGGUGUUACAUAAAAAUCACUUACACAGAAAACUAAACAGAGGCAGUAUGGCGUGCCGAUCAAGGUUUCGGAGCCAACUCAGUCAUGGAUCUGCCUGGAAAACGUAGGCCAAGCCUUCUCCUUCCCUGAGUUUCUAUAUCAUCUUUUAUAAAAAUAGAGAUAAUACAACCCAAUUUAGAGGGUUGUUACGAUAAGUGAAUGAACGGAAAUCCGUGAAAUCCUCUGACACCAGCCUCGGAUAGCCCAAGAUAGAAAAUGGAAGCUUGGGAAGCAAAUUACUACAAGAGUAGCCGUUCAAGUGACAAAAGAAUUCUCUGCAGGACCUUGUUAAUUGGCAAUGGCACCCUACAUAGAGGUUUUGAUACAUUUACGCGAAUAAAUACAAGCCCCCAUCCCACUGAUGUCUGGAGGAAGAACAAUUGUUUUGCACGCCGAUGUAAACAAAGACCAGGAACAGGUAGGAGGAAAAUGAGAAGACAAGGCAACAUGCGACCCCACCUCCAGGAUUUGAGUAUCGUCUCCUUGCGGAGAUCUCAGAAUCCCCGAGCACUGUUCUCAGGUAAUCAUUUUGCUCUUGCUCCCCAAAUCCAGAAGGACACGUAAGACCCCAAGCAAACCCAGCAAUGCCUCCUGAGGGUUGUUUGCCCAUAACAGGUCUCCUUCGACCGCAGUGUGUCCCUGAGACACUGGCUUUUGGCCCCAGGGCUCUGCCCCCAGCCGCUCACUUGUGAGGGGCAGUGAACCAGGCCACAGGGACGGAUUCUCCAAGUACCAUGUCACAAACCAACUCUUAGGUUCAUCUGAGCAGUUUGGUGGCCCGUGUGCCCUGGCAUUCUGGGACAGCGCAGGAGUGUCUGAGAAUAACAGAGAUGACCCAGAGUAGCAGCCAGGCAGCUGAGGCAGAGAAGGGCUCAGCUGCCCUGGUCUCCGCCAGGAGGAGGCCUGCCUCCCAGGAGCAGUCUGGCCGGACAGCUGAUCCUUGCUAAUCUCCACGCCGUAGAGACAAACUGGUUGAUUUUCAUAUAUCUAUGACUUCGUGUUGUUCUUUACAUCACCUGCUUUAUUUUCAAACCUGUCAACAGUCCUCUGAAAAGGUUGCACACAUGGGUUGAGGCCUGGGCAGCUCCAGGGAGGACAGAAGCAGACACGGUCAGGGCGGGCGGAAGGGAGGGAGGGUGGGAAGGGCAGUGGCCCCACACCUGGGAGACUGAGUCAGGAAUCCACGGGCUUCGUGUUUUCGUGAGUUUUCUGUCAUCAAAGCAAACAAGAGGCACGGGGUUUUAUGCUGUGACCUCUUCUGGUAAGGCUUGAAAGCUGGCUAUAAAUCCAAGAUGGACCACACACUGACUG